rnacentral:rRNA from 1 species
GCGACCUCAAUUUAAGCGAGAAUACCCGCUGAACUUAAGCAUAUCAGUAAGCGGAGGAAAAGAAACUAACUAGGAUUCCCUUAGUAACGGCGAGUGAAA